UACGUAGGGGCAAGCGUUGUCCGGAAUCAUUGGGCGUAAAGCGCGUGUAGGCGGCCAGAUAAGUCCGUUCUGAAAGCCCGGGGCUCAACCCCGGGAGGCGGAUGGAAUACUGUUUGGCUCGAAGUCCGGAAGAGGCGAGUGGAAUUCCCGGUGUAGGCGGGUAGAAAUGCGCAGAGUAAUCGGGAGGAACACCAAUGGCGAAGGCAGCUCGCUGGACGGUACUGACGCUGAGACGCGAAAGCGUGGGGAG
rnacentral:rRNA from 1 species